rnacentral:lncRNA from 1 species
AAUGUGAGAAAGAGCUCUAAGAUAGUUAAGUAGAUAAAAGCAAGGUGUCAAACUGUAGAGUAUGUUUCCAUUUAUGUAAAGAAGAAACAGGCUAGGCAAGGUGACUCACGCCUGUAAUCCCAGCACUUUGGGAGGCCGAGGCGGGUGGAUCACCUGAGGUCCGGAGUUCAAGACCAGCCUGACCAACACGGUGAAACCCCAUCUCUACUAAAAAUACAAAAGCUGGGUGUGGUGGUGCACACUUCUAAUCCCAGCUACUCCGUAGGCUAAGGCAGGAGAAUCGCUUGAACCCAGGAAGUGGAGGUUGCAGUGAGCCAAUAUUGUGCCAUUGCACUCCAGCUUGGGCAACAAGAGCGAAACUCCAUCUCAAAAAUAAAUAAAUAAAUAAGAAACAUUUGUUUAUAUGUACACACAUAAUCUCUGAAAGGGUAAAAGUGGCAUACUGGUUGGCCAGAAGAAUUGGGAGGACAGUGAUGAGG